UACGUAGGGGGCGAGCGUUGUCCGGAUUUAUUGGGCGUAAAGAGCGUGUAGGCGGUUCGGUAAGUCUGUCGUGAAAUCCUGAGGCUCAACCUCGGGCGUGCGAUGGAUACUGCCGGGCUAGAGGGUGGUAGAGGCGAGUGGAAUUCCCGGUGUAGCGGUGAAAUGCGCAGAUAUCGGGAGGAACACCAGUAGCGAAGGCGGCUCGCUGGGCCACACCUGACGUUGAGACGCGAAAGCUAGGGGAGCGAACAGG
rnacentral:rRNA from 1 species